rnacentral:rRNA from 1 species
GACGAACGCUGGCGGCGUGCUUAACACAUGCAAGUCGAACGAAGUGGCGAACGGGUGAGUAAUACGCGGGUACCCUGCCCUCCUUUUUGGGAUAAGCCUUGGAAACGGGGUCUAAUACCGAACAUAGGGGGAUGGGCUCGCGGCCUAUCAGCUUGUUGGUGGGGUGGAGGCCUACCAAGGCGGUGACGGGUAGCCGGCCUAAGAGGGUGACCGGCCACAGUGGGACGGAGAGACGGCCCAGACUCCUACGGGAGGCAGCAGGGGGGGAUAUUGCAAAAUGGGCGAAAGGCUGAUGCAGGGACGCCGCGUGGGGGAUGAGGUCGUACGGGUUGGAAACCUCUUUCGCGAGCGAACGGGUAGGGGGAUAGGAAGCGCCGGCUAACUACGUGCCAGCAGCCGCGGUAAUAC